ACCGAAGACUCCCUUAUAAAUGUCACCAUAGCUACAAGGAACCUGUCCGUGACGGCCAAUGUGAGCAGCGAUUAUGGCAUUGGAGGAUUCAUGCCCUAUGGUUUCAGUGGGACCUUAGCAGGAGCUGCCACCUGCUUUUAUGCUUUUGUUGGCUUUGACUGCAUUGCAACAACAGGUGAGGAGGUCAAAAACCCUCAGAGGGCCAUUCCCACUGGCAUCGUGGUGUCACUGACCGUGUGCUUCUUGGCAUACUUUGGCGUGUCAGCUGCCCUCACGCUGAUGAUGCCCUACUACCUACUGGAC